rnacentral:snRNA from 1 species
GUGCUUGCUUUGGCAACACAUAUAUUAAAAUUGAAAUGAUACAGAGAAGAUUAGUGUGGUCCCUGUGCAAGGAUGACACACAGAUUUGUGAAGCAUUUCAUAUUAAA